AGGCGCGUAACUCAGCGGUAGAGUGCUGUCUUGACAAGGCAGAAGUCGGCGGUUCAACCCCGCCCGCGCCUACCA
rnacentral:tRNA from 1 species